GACGAACGCUGGCGGCGUGCUUAACACAUGCAAGUCGAGCGGUAAGGCCCUUUCGGGGGUACACGAGCGGCGAACGGGUGAGUAACACGUGGGUGACCUGCCCUCAGCUCCGGGAUAAGCCUGGGAAACCGGGUCUAAUACUGGAUAUGACUCCAUGACGCAUGUUGUGGGGUGGAAAGCCUUGUGCGGCUGAGGAUGGGCCCGCGGCCUAUCAGCUUGUUGGUGGGGUGAUGGCCUACCAAGGCGACGACGGGUAGCCGGCCUGAGAGGGCGACCGGCCACACUGGGACUGAGACACGGCCCAGACUCCUACGGGAGGCAGCAGUGGGGAAUCUUGCGCAAUGGGCGAAAGCCUUACGCAGCGACGCCGCGUGAGGGAUGACGGCCU
rnacentral:rRNA from 1 species